CAGGGGAUAGUUUAAUUAGAAUAUCAGCUUUGGGUGCUGAUGGUGGGGGUUUAAUACCUCUCUCUUGA
rnacentral:tRNA from 1 species